CGUAGGUGGCAAGCGUUGUCCGGAAUUACUGGUGUAAGGAGCGUAGGCGGAGGCAAGUUGAAUGUUAAACUAAUCGGCUCAACUGAUAGUCGCGUUCAAACUAGCCACUCUUGAGUGCAGUAGAGGUAGGCGGAAUUCCUAGUGUAGCGGUGAAAUGCGUAGAUAUUAGGAGGAACACCAGUGGCGAAGGCGGCCUACUGGGCUGUAACUGACGCUGAGGCUCGAAAGCGUGGUAGCAAACAGGAUU
rnacentral:rRNA from 1 species